UCGAGAAUCUUCCGCAAUGGACGAAAGUCUGACGGAGCGACGCCGCGUGAUUGAUGAAGUUCUUUGGAACGUAAAGAUCUUUUAUGAGGGAAGAAGUUUAUUGACUGUACCUCAUGAAUAAGGGGCUCCUAAUCUCGUGCCAGCAGGAGCGGUAAUACGAGAGCCCCGAGCGUUAUCCGGAAUUAUUGGGCGUAAAGGGUGCGUAGGUGGUUGUAUUAGUCGUUUGUCAAAUCCUUGGGCUUAACCCAAGAACCGCGAACGAAACGGUACAACUAGAGAGUGUGGGGGGUAUAGGGAACUCAUGGUGUAGGGGUGAAAUCCGUUGAUAUCAUGGGGAACACCAAAAGCGAAGGCACUAUACUAACACAUAUCUGACACUCAAGCACGAAAGCGUGGGUAG
rnacentral:rRNA from 1 species